UGGGGAAUAUUGCACAAUGGGCGCAAGCCUGAUGCAGCCAUGCCGCGUGUGUGAAGAAGGCCUUCGGGUUGUAAGGCACUUUCAGCGAGGAGGAAGGUGGUGAACUUAGUACGUUCAUCAAUUGACGUUACUCGCAGAAGAAGCACCGGCUAACUCCGUGCCAGCAGCCGCGGUAAUACGGAGGGUGCAAGCGUUAAUCGGAAUUACUGGGCGUAAAGACGCACGCAGGCGGUUUGUUAAGUCAGAUGUGAAAUCCCCGGGCUCAACCUGGGAACUGCAUUUGAAACUGGCAAGCUAGAGUCUCGUAGAGGGGGGUAGAAUUCCAGGUGUAGCGGUGAAAUGCGUAGAGAUCUGGAGGAAUACCGGUGGCGAAGGCGGCCCCCUGGACGAAGACUGACGCUCAGGUGCGAAAGCGUGGGGCAGCAAACAGGAUUAGAUACCCUGGUAGUCCACGCUGUAAACGAUGUCGAUUUGGAGGUUGUGCCCUUGAGGCGUGGNUUCCGGAGCUAACGCGUUAAAUCGACCGCCU
rnacentral:rRNA from 1 species